UCAAAGUUCUUGUCACAGCUGGAUCACUUCUCUGACAAGCUGAUACAGAUCUUCAUGAAGAAAGGAGGAAUGAAGGGGCAAAGGAUCAAGGAUGUCCUGGCGAAUAAUGAUUUGUGUGAUGACAUCAACACCAAAAGGGAGUGCCUCCUGAGAAGCCUUGUCAUCUACCUCAGUGAAGAUCCUGACGUAUUCUUUUAAGGCAUAUUUGGUCUCUGGCACUGAGGAUGUGGAGAGGGACAUCUCAAGCACAAUCAUGGGGAUUUACAUUAUUCGAAGUUAUGACAAUGGGGAGCCAGAGGAUGUGGGAAUUGUGAUUGAAGGCAUUAAAGUCCUGACCAACGUAGGCAGUGUCAUCACUGGUUUCAUCGUGCUGUUUGGGCUAAUUUAUGCCCUUGACCUGAGCUUUCCAGAAAACCUCAAGUACACCUUUGAGUUCAUCCAGAAAAUCAUUAUGAAUCUGGAUGGACACAAGCUCAAUCCAAAGAUACAGCAGCUGAAAAUCAAAUUAUUUUCUUAAGAAGUGAACGCCAGAUGACAACUACAUGAAAUUUCUUUAU